rnacentral:lncRNA from 14 species
UUGGGGUCGUCCCACAUUGAUGGGGAUUUUCGGGGUCUCACAUGGAAUUGGGGCCGUUUUCGGGGGUCCCACAUGGAAUUGGGGCCGUUUUCGGGGGUCUCACGUGGGAUCCCCCCCAGAAGAAGAAGACCCCCCCCAAGCGGGAGCGCCACGCCUCGGGCAGCAGCUCCAGGGGGGGCUCCAGGCCCGGGACCCCCCCCCAGGAGCCGGGGGGCGCCGGGGGGACCCUGAGGGCAGCGGCGGCCAGGCUGGAGCAGGGUCGGCGGGCGGCCCCGGGGGGGUCGGAGCCCCCUCCCCAAAAACGGCUGAAGGCGGAGCCGGAACCCCCCUCGGGCAAAUCCACCCCCGAGCACCGGCGAGGUGCAGCUGACGGAAGAAGCCGUGCGCCGCUACCUGUCCCGCAAGCCCAUGACCACCAAGGACCCCCGACUCCCCCAGCCCCUGUGAAGCCCCCAGACCCAUUUUAACCCUUUUCACUCCCCUCCCCAGCGAGGUGCAGCUGACGGAAGAAGCCGUCGGCCGCUACCCAUGUCCACCCUGUCCCCCUAAGCCCCAGCCUUUUAAGCCCAUGACCACCAAGGUCCUGCUCGAAGAAGUUCCACACUGUCCCAAGCGCCCGAGGGGCUAAGCGCCAGCCACGGUGAACGCCCAGCCCAUUUGCUCCCCGCCUUACCCCUAGCGCAGCUGAUCGCCGACAAGAUGCACUUCUUCCUCAAGGAGUAGGGACCCCAAAACAGCCACGGGGACCCCGAAACACCCGCGGGACCCCAAAAAUCCCCUAAACAUCCACCGGGACCCCAAAACAGCCACCGGGACCCCAAAACACCCGCGGGGACCCCAAAACAGCCGCGGGGACCCCAAAACAGCCACCGGGACCCCAAAACAGCCACGGGGACCCCAAACAGCCGCGGGGACCCCAAAAAAUCCCCUAAACAUCCACCGGGACCCCAAAACAUCCACCGGGACCCCAAAACAUCC